ensembl:snoRNA SNORD72 small nucleolar RNA, C/D box 72
AGCUUGUCAGUGAUGUACUUUGAAAAAAAUGUCUGAACAUAUGAAUUAAUAGUGAUUUCAGCAUUUAACUGAGAUGAGCU